AAAAAUGUGAUCUUGCUUGUAAAUACAAUUUUGAGAGGUUAAUAAAUUACAAGUAGUGCUAUUUUUGUAUUUAGGUUAGCUAUUUAGCUUUACGUUCCAGGAUGCCUAGUGGCAGCCCCACAAUAUCCAGGAAGCCCUCUCUGCGGUCGAAAAACCUAGGUAGGUUUUUCUAAGAAAUUUACCUAUUUUU
rnacentral:other from 1 species